CCCCCCUAAACAUCAAGGAACACCCUUCUAGAAAAUGAAAAGGCUAGCUUUGGUGCUAACCUAGUCAUAAUUAAUCAGUUCCUCAUCAUCCUUAGUGCCAGUUCUUACAGCUCCCCCAAGUCAUUGUUGUUGUAUGGUCUUUCUUUAGCUUGGAUUUGGAAAUCCUCUCUGCUUUGUAUAUCUUGCAUGCUCAUUCCAUCAUUGAUGCUGAUGUGAUCAAUUGAUUCAAGUGAGCUUUGAGGAGAUAUAGGAUUCAUGUAAGUGGGACAAAAUGGAUGAUUCAUUAGUUGUCCUGUAACAUUGUUAUUAUUCCCUUGCAAAUGAUGAUUAUUCUCUAUGUUCCUGGACUCCACUAGGUUCUGAGUCAGCUGAGCUUUUACCUGCAUC
rnacentral:lncRNA from 1 species